rnacentral:rRNA from 1 species
GUCGAGAAUCUUUCACAAUGGGGGCAACCCUGAUGGAGCGACGCCGCGUGGAGGAUAAGGUCUUCGGAUUGUACACUCCUGUCAUGCGUGAACAAGGUUGCUUGAUUAAUACCUGGGCAAAUUGAUGGUAACGCAAGAGGAAGAGACGGCUAACUCUGUGCCAGCAGCCGCGGUAAUACAGAGGUCUCAAGCGUUGUUCGGAAUCACUGGGCGUAAAGGGUGCGUAGGUGGCGUGGUAAGUCAGAUGUGAAAGCCCGGGGCUCAACCUCGGAACUGCAUCCGAUACUGCCAUGCUAGAGUACUGGAGAGGUGACUAGAAUUCUCGGUGUAGCAGUGAAAUGCGUAGAUAUCGAGAGGAAUACCAAAGGCGUAGGCAGGUCACUGGACAGUUACUGACACUGAGGCACGAAGGCCAGGGGAGCGAACGGGAUUAGAAACCCUUGUAGUCC